GACGAACGCUGGCGGCGUGCUUAACACAUGCAAGUCGAACGGAAAGGCCCUGCUUUUGUGUGUUUCUCGAGUGGCGAACGGGUGUGUAACACGUGUGUAUCCUGCCCUUGACUUUCGGAUAACUUCAGGAAACUGGGGCUAAUACCGGAUAUAAUCUCCUGCUCCAUGGUGGUGAUUGGAAAGUUUCGGCCGUUGGGGAUGGAUUCGCGGGUUAUCCGCUUGUUUGUGUGGUAGUGGUUUACAAGGGCUUUGACGGAUAGCCGGCCUGAGAGGGGUACCGGGGACAUGGGGACUGAGAGACGGAGCAGACGCGUACGGGAGGCAGCAGGGGGGAAUAUGGCAGAAUGGGCGGAAGCCUGAGGCAGCAACGCCGGGUGCGGGAUGACGGGCUUCGGGUGGUAAACAGAUUUGGAAGGAGACGAAGAGUGAGUGACGGUAAUGGGUAAAGAAGCAACGGCUAACUACGUG
rnacentral:rRNA from 1 species